AUACGUAGGGUGCGAGCGUUGUCCGGAAUUACUGGGCGUAAAGAGCUCGUAGGUGGUUUGUCGCGUCGUCUGUGAAAUUCCGGGGCUUAACUCCGGGCGUGCAGGCGAUACGGGCAUAACUUGAGUACUGUAGGGGAGACUGGAAUUCCUGGAGUAGCGGUGAAAUGCGCAGAUAUCAGGAGGAACACCGGUGGCGAAGGGGGGUCUCUGGGCAGUAACUGACGCUGAGGAGCGAAAGCAUGGGUAGCGAACAGGAUUAGAUACCCUGGUAGUCCAUGCCGUAAACGGUGGGCGCUAGGUGUAGGGGUCUUCCACGACUUCUGUGCCGUAGCUAACGCAUUAAGCGCCCCGCCUGGGGAGUACGGCCGCAAGGCUAAAACUCAAAUGAAUUGACGGGG
rnacentral:rRNA from 1 species